AAAUAGGUCAGUUGCUAGCUAGUUUUGCCUUACCCUUUGGGUGUGAUUUUUAAAAUUAGAGUGGUGGCAAUACAGUAAAUGCUGAACUUGAGUCAUAUGUGAACAUAUUCUACAGGUAAAUAUUGGCCUAUGUAUUUUUAUGUUUUUAGGUAUGUUUUUUUUUAACCUAUUCUGAUCUUAUAGCCAUCAUUACCAUUAUUAGAAUUAUGCAAAUAAUUGCAUUAUAAACAUGUUUAUAACUUAGCCAAAUGUUGAUUUUUAUAACUGUCAAAGACAUGAGUUGAAAUUUCUUAUGUGUCUUUUGAUAAAAUGCAGUAUUGUUUAAGUGUAUCUUGUCUUUUUGUUCAUUGCUACAAUUUAAGAACUUUAUUUAAAAGCAAUUUGGAAGAUUACUUGGUACGGCUGUUGGAACUGUAGCCACAUGGUCAAUAAGUAAAGUACAUGACCUUGAUUUCAUGUUUUCUGUGCAUUUUGGCCAAUCCAAAGUACUGUAUUUUCAUUGACUAUAAAGCUUCCUUUGCAAUAUUCAUUCUCCUUACAUAGUCCCUUGUUGUGAUUAUACUUCUUAAAAGACUCACUAUGAACUUUACCCACAUCUUAAAAUCUAGAAUAUUCUGAACAAUUCCAGUCUUCCUGCAUCCAACUGAAAUGUUGUAAAAUAUGACAAACAUGUGGACAGAUUCAGUGCAAUUCUCAUAAUGCACUUUGAUACAGUAUAUGAAUUAUCUUCUAGUAAUUAAAAUGUGUCCCAAUAAAUAUGCCCAUCAUUUGUGGGUCUUCUACUGAUAUCUAAUUUAUGAAGAGGUCAUUCAACUUUUAUACCAAGCAGACAAAAAGGUGUGACAGAGCAUCUCUGCUGAGGCCUGGGAGAAAAGAACUGUGGUUUGGUUUAUUACUUCUAUCUUAGUAAAUCAAGACUGUCAUUAGGGUUUUUAAGUUUUCAUCUUAGUUCUUCAAGACUUGUUUAAUAUGGACCAGUUUUUAUGGAAACUGCAAAAACCAUAAAUAACCACGAUCUGUAAACAAUUUUCCUCUUAAAAAACUUAGCAUUAUACUUUCCAGCAUAUGGAAAACAGCUAAAUACAUAUGUUAAUUCCAUAUACUUAGUAACUUCUUAAGAUAUUCUGGUACAUAUUUUAGUAUAGAAGACUAUCAAGUACAAGAAUUAUAUUCUGCUACUUGAGACAAUGUCAAUUAUAAACCUAAAUAAUUAAAGGUUAAGGUAAUAGCUAGAAUCAAGUUUUACUUUGACCAAUUUUAGUAGGUUACUUUUUAUGUUAGAUCCACAAGUAACCUUAAAUUAAAAUACUGAAAAAGAACUGAAAGAUUAGGACAACAUGUAUAUCUUGUGGCAAAUGGUACUUGCAUGUAAUAAAGGCUCUGUUGACUGAAA